UGCCUAGUCCAAUGGAGUCCUCGUCCUGUACUGUACAGGGCCUGGUGCUGAUCCUGGGGGGGGUGGGGGCAGGGUGCCUUUGGGUGCUACUGCCAUACAAAGAAUGACCUUUCAGAGCGGCAGUCACUCGUGAACGUGUGGCACUCUCUGAGUCUCAAUUCAGCAAAGCAGGUAGCUUCUGCUCUGGAGCUAUGUGGGGGUGCUGCCGGCUACCAUUGAGGGACAGUGGCAGGAUGCUGUGAGGGAAGCUGGCACAGCGACACCCCCUGCUGGUCCGGCUUUCCCCACCUCUCCCUGCACACACACACCCCCUCAGAGAACAGCUAUGCAGCUGUCACAACCCCCUAGCUCCAGAGCCAGCUGCAGUAGCACAGCUGCUAAUCUCACAAGCCAAGAGCUGUGAAACUGCCAAGGAAGUGUGGCUUGGUGCUGUCUGCGCUGCAUUCCCACCUUCUGCUCGUCUGUGGGAAAGCUCAAGGCUGUGUCAGGAAGGAAAGGGUCCGGUCCGUGAGCCAGGCGCAGUGGGGCCUCGGCUGAGCCACCUGCAGCAUUCAUGCCCACGCUGAAGUCAGAUCCCCUCACCUGUGCAGAGCCCUUGGUGGGGUCUGAAGAAAGGGGAGAGAGUGGGAAAGGAUAGAUCUGGGCAUGGAUCCUCCAAGCAUCGAGCCAGCCCAAUCUGGCCUCCAUGUAAUUCCUGAAAUGGAGCCUGCAGCGAAGAGGGACCCAGUGGAGCUGUCUGAGGAUGUGGUGCUGUGAGCACUGUUUUCUGCCUGUGCAAGAGGCCAGGCAGUCAGAUUCUGCACCUGGGGAGGCCAUAGAUUCAGCAUGACACAGAAAUGAACAGCUGGGUCUCUCCAGUGCUGCUGCCCAAGGUCACUCACUCCAACCAGCGAUCCUGAGAAGAAUCACCUUGAAGAGUUUCCAUUUCUCGAGCAAUAUUUUGCAUAAUAUUGCAGUCAGAGCUGGGUUGAAAGAUCAUAUCCAUCUUAACCCAGGUAGUUUUCCUUGCCUGCACUCCUGCACAAACACACAGUUACAGGAGUCCCAAGGGGAGAGCUGGCACUUUGCGGCCCGUGCACUGUUCACGAACAGGUCGCAGAGCUGGUUCUGAUUAUUGGUCCCAUUUGGGAACAGAUGCAUGGGAAGCUGUCCUGAGUUAACACAGGCUUCUCUUGCCUCAGAAAGCUCUCCGUCUGGAACAGAUCUCUUUGCCCGUGGCAUCCUGGCUCUCUCUCUAAGCAGCUGCCUCAGUUCCUCUCUGACUUCAGGAUGGACAAUAUCAAGUCAAUGGCAUCUGAUGAAACAACCAAGCAGAAGCAUUUUUAAAAAUAAAAGUAUUUCUGACUUUGAAGUGUU